rnacentral:rRNA from 1 species
GAUGAACGCUGGCGGCGUGCCUAAUACAUGCAAGUCGAGCGAAGCGGGGACGGGUGAGUAACACGUGGAUAACCUCCUAUAAGACUGGGAUAACUUCGGGAAACCGGAGCUAAACCGGAUACUUAUAGAUGGAUCCUCGCUGCAUUAGCUAGUUGGUAAGGUAACGGCGUACCAAGGCACCGAUGCAUAGCCGACCUGAGAGGGUGUUCGGCAAAACUGGAACUGAGACACGGUCCAGACUCCUAGGGGGGGAAGAAGGAGGGAAUCUGCCGAAAUGGGGGAACGCCUGACGGGGCAACGCGGGGGGAGUGAUGAAGGUCUUCGGAUCGAAAAACGUUGUUAUUAGGGAAGCGGUACAUAAGCAGAAAGCCACGGCUAACUACGUGCCAGCGCCGCGGUAAUAC